rnacentral:rRNA from 1 species
AUUGAACGCUGGCGGCAUGCCUUACACAUGCAAGUCGAACGGUAACAGGUCUUCGGAUGCUGACGAGUGGCGAACGGGUGAGUAAUACAUCGGAACGUGCCUAGUAGUGGGGGAUAACUACUCGAAAGAGUGGCUAAUACCGCAUGAGAUCUACGGAUGAAAGCAGGGGAUCGCAAGACCUUGUGCUACUAGAGCGGCCGAUGGCAGAUUAGGUAGUUGGUGGGAUAAAAGCUUACCAAGCCGACGAUCUGUAGCUGGUCUGAGAGGACGAUCGGCCACACUGGGACUGAGACACGGCCCAGAAUCCUGCGGGAGGCAGCAGGGGGGAAUUUUGGACAAUGGGCGCAAGCCUGAUCCAGCAAUGCCGCGUGCAGGAUGAAGGCCUUCGGGUUGUAAACUGCUUUUGUACGGAACGAAAAGCCCUGGGUUAAUACCCUGGGGUCAUGACGGUACCGUAAGAAUAAGCACCGGCUAACUACGUGCCAGCAGCCGCCGUAAAAC